GCCUAACACAUGCAAGUCGAACGGGGGUAGCAAUACCCUAGUGGCGAACGGGUGAGUAACACAUAAGCAAUCUGCCCUUCACAGGGGGAUAACAGCGGGAAACUGCUGCUAAUACCGCAUAAGACCACAGUACCGCAUGGUACAGGGGUAAAAACGAAUCAGUGGUGAAGGAUGAGCUUAUGUCCCAUUAGCUAGUUGGUGAGAUAACAGCCCACCAAGGCGACGAUGGGUAGCCGACCUGAGAGGGUGAUCGGCCACACUGGAACUGAGACACGGUCCAGACUCCUACGGGAGGCAGCAGUGGGGAAUAUUGGGCAAUGGAGGAAACUUCCUUACCCAGCAAUGCCGCGUGAGUGAAGAAGGUCUUCGGAUUGUAAAGCUCUUUGAUUGGGGACGAAGAAAGUGACGGUACCCAAAGAACAAGCCCCGGCUAACUACGUGCCAGCAGCAGC
rnacentral:rRNA from 1 species